rnacentral:rRNA from 1 species
UACGUAGGGGGCAAGCGUUGUCCGGAAUCAUUGGGCGUAAAGAGCGUGUAGGCGGUCCGGUCAGUCGGUUGUGAAAGUCAAGGGCUCAACCCUUGAAUGCCGGCCGAUACUGCCGGGCUAGAGUCCGGAAGAGGUGAGUGGAAUUCCUGGUGUAGCGGUGAAAUGCGCAGAUAUCAGGAGGAACACCAAUGGCGAAGGCAGGUCUCUGGGCCACUACUGACGCUGAGAAGCGAAAGCAUGGGGAGCGAACAGG